CUUUAGCCUGUUGAUGUGUGCCUACAGUUAAGCCAUGUAUUGCAAACCAAUUGAAAAACUUCAUUUUAAAUGUAUUUCUCAAGAUUGAUUGCAAACAAUUGACACAAUUCUUACCCGACUGAAUUGCGACCCUGAAUCUCAAUAACCUCCACCGAGUUGAAGUGAGUUACAAACAGGUGUCAAGAUGAUGUUGAGUGUCUCACUCGGAAGUGAUCCAGUCAAGGCCCUUAAGUGAGUGGUUCAACCAUGUCCAUCCUCCCACUCCACCUGGUCCAACAUGACGAUCACCAGAAACCAGAACAGAAGGACAAAGGCCAAAGUUGAGAAGCCUUAAGUUCCUGUUUUUCAGCCACAAAGUACACGGUGAAGAAGGGUGCAGCAGGAACUUUAAAGCAACUGGAAGAUACUUGGAUGCAACGUGACAUAAGAAGAAGUAAUUUUUCUAGCUUCAGUUGAAGGCUGUCUCUUUAACUCCAGUCACAGUACAGUUAAA